AAGGACGUCAGGAUUUGUGGUUAAAGAAAUAAUCACUCGAGUACAUUCAUCACAUAGUAAAUCAUCUUUUGCUCAAUUUAUCGCAAAUCACAUGGCAGUACUUUUAUGAAGUCCCGCCUCCGCCUGCAAAAGUGAGUGACAGAACACAGCAGUUCCGUUUCUGCUCCCAACCGAGCUCAUCGAACGCAUCAUUUUAAAACCUGAUUUGUUCUUCGGAACGAAACGUUCGCAAACGAAACAACACAAAGGACGAACGAGAGCUGGCUCAUUUGCCAAAGUGAGCAGGCUGUGAGCCGGAAGUGGCAUGACACAAACGCGAAGAGACAGACCUUAUGCAGAAACCAAAAAUGCGGUAGGCUCAAGAGAGACGAGAGAACGGAUGACAUUGAAAAUCUUCAUUCUGAGUGGCAGGAGCAAGAACCCCCUCACAUAAAAAAGGAGGAUGAUGAUGAAGAAAUCAACGAGAUCAAAGAGGAGGAGAAGUUACAGUCUCCUCACAUUCAAAAACGGGUGAACGAAAAGCACUUCCUCAUCAUGGAGGAAAAGGACGAAGAGGCUAUCACAAAUUUGCCUGGGACUGUUGUCAUUUUGACAAAUGAAGGACAAUACGUGACAAAUGAAAGUAAUAGAGACCACAGUGGAGGAUUACGACCAGACGUCCCUUUACCUCCACAGUCAGAUAGUGAUGACACGUCACACUCUUCUGACUAUGAUGAUGAUGAUGAAGAGUCUGAAAGGCAUCAAGCAAAUUACAUUGACAAUGGGAGAAGUUCUCAGUGUAGGAAAGCUAUUGUUUAUCAAAACGAAUUGAUAAACCCUGUGAGAACACAUUGUGGAGAGAAGCCUUUUGCCUGUUUCAUUUGUGGGAAAGGGUUCAACAAGAAGACAUCCUUAAAAACACACAACAGAAAACACACUGGUGAAAAACCUUUUUACUGCUCAAUUUGCGGUCAAAGAUUCACUCAAAAGGUACAUUUGACAUCACAUAUAAGAAGACACAAUGGUGAGAGACCUUUUGCCUACUCACUUUGUGGACAAACAUUCUCUAACAGUGGGGAUUUGAAAAGACACGUGAGAACACAUUCUGGAGAGAAACCUUUUGCCUGCUCAAUAUGCGGUAAACGAUUGUCUCGAAAGAGACAAUUGACCCUUCCGUACAGGGCACUUAACCACGCCACCUGAAGUGACGUCACGCCACGUGCGCCUAACGUCAGUCAAACAAUUAGCAAAAAGGGCGGCGCAUCAAGAAAAGAAUAGAGCGAAACUGUCCGAUUUACCGGCUGAUUUCUCACUCGCAUUCUUAGCUAGCAGUGAAAUAUCGUUGAAAAGCAGACAGCAGGGCUUCAAGUAUUUCAGCGAGGGGUAUUUCAAUGGUAUUUACAUGCAUAUCGACGGAGAAACCAUUGAUAUUAGCUCGAGAUCUUUCCAGAGUCAGAGGAAGACCGAGAAGCCACAUAAUAUAAUAUAUUAUAACCCAAAGACGAAUUCGUCAUUGACAGUUUCCUAUUUUCGUGUUACAUAUCACACUUGUGUGCAGAAUCUGUAUAUGUAUCUGUAUAGCCGUUUGUGAACCGCCGUAUGAAGGAAAAGAAGGCGAGGGUUGAUUUACGAGUUGUUUCUCUCGUUUUCUUUGUAUAACGUCACGCGCUCCCCUAUGGAAUUAUUCUUGAAUUAGUGCCGAACCUACGUAAGUCCCGACAUAGUACGAUAAUCACUACUUUAGUGUCCUCAAACAUCCUUCCUUCAGUCUUGGUGUCUCGGUACACGUCGAAGGCUUUUAGGACUGCUAGUCCGGUUUAUCUUAGCUAAUUAGCCGUGAACAAAGGGACACGUUUGUGCAGUCAGAUCAUCGCAAAAUAUCGCUCAACAUAGAUCAAGUGUGUCAAUCAUUCACACUUAGCUAUGUUAUGCAAGCAAAGAACUGCUCAUUCAUUUAUAUGAGAAGUAUUGAAAAUCAAAUAUAGGGCUUACCUUCGUGCAAACACAGUCCGGUUUACCGUAGCCGCAAACAAAGGGACACGUUUGUGCAGUCAGAUAAUCGCAAAAUAUCGCUCAACACAGAUCAAGUGUGUCAAUCAUUCACACGUAGCUAUGUUAUGCAAGCGAAGAACUGCUAAUUCAUUUAUAUGAGAAAUGUAUUGAAAAUCAAAUAUAGGACUUACCUUCAUGCAAACAUAUCUGUUCCGGUUGAUGGAUUCAGUUGAUCAUGCGGUCUUCCACAAAGUUUGAUCCAUUGAAGAUAUUUUUCGUACUCGGUCUUCGGUUUUGGAAAGGGUACGAAUUGAACUCCACCAUCUAGCCUAUCAGGAUACUUGUCGUCACUAUUACAAAGGCCGUGACUACACCUCUUAACCAUAUCUAUUGUUAAGGAUCCCUAAGACGUGAUAAAACGCAAACAAAAGCUCUACUGAACCAUGCGACUUUCUCUGAGGUUAUGGCAGACGACAACAAGGGGCGUGGUUUAGGCACAUCUCUGGCCUCUGAUUGGUCAAUUUCUCCGCAAUUUCUACGGAGGGGUCAAUUGCACGUUCCCCAAGCGCAUCUGAGGAUCAUUUUCUUUGUAACAUUAACUUUUCCAAGCGCACGCUACUGACAACCAGUAUUGCUUGUGGGACAACAUGGCGGCAGGGGUGUGUCAAGCCAGGGGUUAAGACAAUGUGGCUAUCUGAUUGGCUAUUAUUGUAUGAGUGAUUGACAGGUCGGAAAGGUCCAUUGAUUGAAAUCGACUGAGGAAACUUUGACACUCUCGUGUAAGAUUGAAAAUUGCACAUCUAUGCCUGAAUAAAAUUGACAUGCAUUUUUUUUAUUUAAUGUAUUACAUUUGUAUGUGACAUUGUACAGUUUCUCAUCUCUGUAUUCGCUUUAUUUGG